rnacentral:rRNA from 1 species
UACGUAGAAGACUAGUGUUAUUCAUCUUUAAUAGGUUUAAAGGGUACCUAGACGGUAUAAUUAGUCUUAAACAGGAUACGAUUAUACUAGAGUUAUAUAUGAGGAGGUGAGUAUUUAUGCAGUAGAGUUGAAAUUCGUUGAUAGCAUAACGACUGGUAACGGCGAAAGCAACCUUUUAUCUAAUAACUGACGUUGAGGGACGAAAGGCUCGGGUAACGAACAGG